UCUAAAAAGGCUGACCAGAUUCAUCCCUGUUUUUCUCUCCUGCCUUCUAGACCACACUCUCCACUCCAUAUUGGUUGCAAGGCAAUCGGUCUUGCUCAUACCUACAUCUCUGAUACCUCACAGAGGAUCUGAGACAUAGUGGGUGUUCACUGUAGCUGCAUGAACUAAAUAAAAGGGAAGGAAAGAAUAAAUCAGAGUAUUGCUACCAUAAAUAGCCACUUUGGCUCUGGGAAGAUUUCACAUGUCACCUCUUCUGCAGGGAUGAGUGUCCAUUUCAUUUUCCAGAUGAAGAAAUAUUCAGAGGAUAAACCAGUCUACCAUCCUACCUUUUGCACAGGCAUCGAUUUCUGAACUCAAGGAACUGGAAAAAAUAUACAGGAAAUCACUGCCCUGCCCCCAUGGACCUUACAAACUAGUGAGGACAUAGCCCUAUGCAACUGGCUCGCCAUUCCCGCAAGCUCUUCUUUUGCUAAUAAAAAAGAAACAAAUAUCAGAAAA